GACGAACGCUGGCGGCGUGCUUAACACAUGCAAGUCGAACGGAAAGGCCCUGCUUUUGUGGGGUGCUCGAGUGGCGAACGGGUGAGUAACACGUGAGUAACCUGCCCUUGACUUUGGGAUAACUUCAGGAAACUGGGGCUAAUACCGGAUAGGAGCUCCUGCUGCAUGGUGGGGGUUGGAAAGUUUCGGCGGUUGGGGAUGGACUCGCGGCUUAUCAGCUUGUUGGUGGGGUAGUGGCUUACCAAGGCUUUGACGGGUAGCCGGCCUGAGAGGGUGACCGGCCACAUUGGGACUGAGAUACGGCCCAGACUCCUACGGGAGGCAGCAGUGGGGAAUAUUGCACAAUGGGCGGAAGCCUGAUGCAGCAACGCCGCGUGCGGGAUGACGGCCCUCGGGUUGUAAACCGCUUUCGCCUGUGACGAAGCGUGAGUGACGGUAAUGGGUAAAGAAGCACCGGCUAGCUACGUG
rnacentral:rRNA from 1 species